rnacentral:rRNA from 1 species
AACGAACGCUGGCGGCAGGCUUAACACAUGCAAGUCGAGCGCCCCGCAAGGGGCGCGGCCGACGGGUGAGUAACGCGUGGGAACGUACCUUUUGGUUCGGAACAACUCCGGGAAACUGGAGCUAAUACCGGAUAAGCCCUAACGGGGAAAGAUUUAUCGCCGAAAGAUCGGCCCGCGUCUGAUUAGCUAGUUGGUGAGGUAACGGCUCACCAAGGCGACGAUCAGUAGCUGGUCUGAGAGGAUGAUCAGCCACACUGGGACUGAGACACGGCCCAGACUCCUACGGGAGGCAGCAGGGGGGAAUAUUGGACAAUGGGCGCAAGCCUGAUCCAGCCAUGCCGCGUGAGUGAUGAAGGCCUUAGGGUUGUAAAGCUCUUUUGUCCGGGAAGAUAAUGACUGUACCGGAAGAAUAAGCCCCGGCUAACUUCGUG